GAUGAACGCUGGCGGCGUGCCUAGUACAUGCAAGUCGAGCGAACAGACGAGGAGCUUGCUCCUCUGACGUUAGCGGCGGACGGGUGAGUAACACGUGGAUAACCUACCUAUAAGACUGGGAUAACUUCGGGAAACCGGAGCUAAUACCGGAUAAUAUAUUGAACCGCAUGGUUCAAUAGUGAAAGACGGUUUUGCUGUCACUUAUAGAUGGAUCCGCGCCGCAUUAGCUAGUUGGUAAGGUAACGGCUUACCAAGGCGACGAUGCGUAGCCGACCUGAGAGGGUGAUCGGCCACACUGGAACUGAGACACGGUCCAGACUCCUACGGGAGGCAGCAGUAGGGAAUCUUCCGCAAUGGGCGAAAGCCUGACGGAGCAACGCCGCGUGAGUGAUGAAGGUCUUCGGAUCGUAAAACUCUGCUAUUAGGGAAGAACAAAUGUGUAAGUAACUAUGCACGUCUUGACGGUACCUAAUCAGAAAGCCACGGCUAACUACGUG
rnacentral:rRNA from 1 species